GAGCCGCCUGGGAGCAGGGAGGGUUCUGCUACCCUGAGGGGCCCUCCCCGCGGGGCAGAGGGGUUUCCUCAGCAGUGCCCCGGAGCAGGGACCGCGCCAGCCAGCAGAAACAGCUAGUUGUUGUCUGCAGUGAAGAAUAAUUGGAAGCAUGGUGCCUGUUUCUUUUCCUGUGGGAGGAAGUCACAGCAUCUACUUCUGAAUCUGUGCUUGCCUUGAGGAAAAACGGCAUGGCACAGGAAUGUGGACGCUUUCAACCAGAGGAUUCUGUACGACGGUGUCGGCACACAAGGAGUGUUCCACUGACUGACCUCUUUUUGUUUUCAAAUGAAGAGGAGCCAAGAAUAGGACAGCUUGGGAAGGUGACAGGUUGCCAAGCUGCCAAGAACUCCUGCCUCUGCUCAUACUGCUCUGCUGAAGUACAUUUGCGACAUCAACCAUCAAAUUACAUAUAAAUAUGUAAUCAACUAAAGUUAUUUAUAGCUAGCUCAGUGGGUUUACGUUGACGGAAUGGGCUGAGGCUGCCGGUUUGAUCCUUUGCCACUUAUUUGACACAUGAAGAAAAUUCAUCACCUAGUAGUCUGUCCCUACACUCGACCAGGUCACAAAGCUGUGAUCUUCCAGAGACCUGGUUCUACUGUGUAGGUGGACAGUCAUAUCAUUUCAGGUACAACCUCAUAUGGCAAUCUCAUCCUCGUCUACGGCCAAACGUUGGUUUCUCAUUUCUAGAAGAUGAAAGAUGUGAUGACUCAGGAAAAACUGGAAUCUUAGUAACUGUGGUGGGCAUUGAGCCUUGCCGUCCACAAGAGAAAGCUUGCUGCUCGAGAUGUGAGUCUUCAGAUGUUCCUGCCGCCAUAUCUGACAGCUGCUGCCAAGAUUCCCUGGUGGGAUGGACUCUUAUACCUCAACAACCAGAAGCCCAAGUAAACUCUUCUAUAAAUUGAAUGACUCAUGCUUAAAAAAAAAAACAAAAAACAAAC
rnacentral:lncRNA from 1 species